AAAAAAAAUUAAAAAAAAGAAAAAGAAAAGGUAUUGAGACUAACAGUGGAAAGGGGGUGUGAAAAAAAGAGCAAACACCGUGCCCAGAUUCUAGUAGGGGGAGCCUGGGUAAGCAGAGAGUGUGGCUCUAGGGCAGGAUGGGGCUCAGCUCUGGGGUGUAGGAGGCUUCGCUUAGAUGGGGUGCACACUGUGGUAAGUUUAGAGACCCCUGGGUAGGACUUCAUGGCCAGAAAGGAAAAGGGACCAUGGUAUAAGAGAGAGAGAGCCCUCAGAAAGGCAGUUUGGUCACAUGAAAGAAGGCACUCGGGUACCUCAGAGGCUCCGGGACAGUGACGAAGCGCUCUCCUGGGUGGGAGGUACCCGGAGGGCUCCUGAAGCUGAGGCUUUUCCAACUGGGGCUAGUCAGCACUUAGAAAUUGUGUUUAGAUGUAUGGAAACCAAUUUGACAAUAAAUUAUAUUAAAAAAAAAAAAAAAGAAAUUGUGUUUAGAGGGCAAAGGUUAAGAAAGGAGGGGCAUGGUGUAAAGACAACAGCUGACCAGAAAUUGCAGGACACGGCUGGGGAGGGAUUGGUAAAGAAUCAACCCGGAAAUGAUGGGGACCUUCCAGAAAACAUGGCUUUGUCAGCAUCUGUUUCUGUGGUCCAGGAUCAGGCUUUUCCCUUUGGAUCUGCUGAACUCUAAGCCAUCCCCAGUCCAUCAGGGUCACGACUAACACUGAGAAGUUCUGCUGUGAAUAUACUGAACGGUGUCCCACGCAUGUGCCACUGGCUAAGGCUGUGGACGGGAGCGUCAGCAUCGCUUGGCCUGCAGGCACCCCUGAGGCCAAUACUCUUAAGGAUAAUGGAGCUGUGAGCUGGAUGGAGCCUGUGUCCCUGAAGAGAUCAUGAACAGAGCCACUAGACCAGUCGUUGGCCACCUACUUCUGUACUUUUACAGGAGAGAGAAACAACUAUCUUAGGUAAGCCACUAUUUUGGGGGACCUUGAUUACUCUUGGUUGAAUCUACUCUUAACCUGUACAACAGGAAAAACACUUAAGUGAUAUCAUAGUAAGCAAUUCAACAACUGUUGGGUAAGCGUUAUUAUUAUCGUUAUUUUGCAUUAAAUAAUGGAUGAGGAGGCUAAAUCACAGUUGACCUGGAACAACAGGGGUUUGAACUACACAGGUUCCCUUGCAUGUGGAUGUUUUUCAAUAAAUACAGGGCAGUACUGUAAAUGUGCUUUCUCUUCCUUAUGAUUUUCUUAAUAACAUUUUCCUUUCUCAAGGUUACUUUAUUGUAAGAAUACGGUUUACAAUACACGUGACAUAGAAAAUAGGUGCUAGUCGACGGUUUCUUUCACAGGUAAGCCUUCUGGCCAACAAUAGGCUAUUAGUAGCUACGUUUUUAGGGGAUCAAAAGUUAUACACGGAUUUUUGACUGCACAGGGCGAUCAGCACACCUGACCCCCCAUUGUUCAAGGGUCAGCUGUAAAAGAGAGCUAUGGAAAGCAGAGGAGAGAAUUGUAUCAGAACGCCAGGUUGAGGCUGGUUAUUAAAACUUAGCUCUGAGUUGCCUGGCUGCUUCUACUUUGAAAUAAAGAGAAGCCUUCUCAGCCUUUUGAGCAGAGGUUUCCUGUGGUGCGGGGGGUUUUGUAAGGCAGUUGAGUCUUGCACUCCUGGAUGGGGAAGAAAUAAGUUCAUUAAGGAAGCCAUUGCAGGAACCCAGGUAGGAAGUGUUAAAGGAUGAUGGCAGUGGAAAGGGAGUCAGGGAACAGAUAUGGAAGAGAAUUCAAAGGAGCUAAAGAGGACUUGACAAGAAAUAACUAUGGGGGUAAAGGAAAUGCAGAUGUCAGAUAUUACUGAAGCUUCACAUCCAAGCAAUUAUAGUAGUUGCUUCCUUCAGAUGUCUGCUACUAAAAUGCUGUGUAACAAACAAUGCCAUAAUCUCAGUGCAUUACAACAAUAGGCAUUUACUUAUUGCUUCUGGGCGUGCAGGGGGCUAUGACUCUCCUGGGUGAAUGAAACUAGCGAAGUGUGGCUCCAAGCUGCCAGUUGUAUUCAGGUCUGUUCCAAGUGUCUCCUCAUUCCGAGAGGCUAUCCAGGCAACUUCAUCUUGUGACAGGUGGCAGAAAUGCAAGAGACUAAGCCAAGCCAUGAGGGCAUAUUUAAAACCCCUGCUCACAUCACUUCCACUAAUUUCUAUUAGCCAAAGCAAGUCAUGUGGCUAAGUCCAAAGACAAUGGGGCACAGAACUAUCAGUCAACUCUUCUGGCGCUGGAAGGGUCACAUGAUGGGAGGAACAAAGACUAGGGACCAAUAACCCAAUCUGCCAUCACAACUAAAAUAAGAGUGAUACCCCGACAUGGAAAUUCGCAGUAGAGCAUUAGGUUUCUUACCACAAGGCACACCUGUGCUAUGACAGGCAUCUGACCAGCCGAUGGGUUGUGUCCCCCUGCAUUUUUCAUCUUUCCCUCGUCCCCUCACACACUAUAGAUAGGGUCCUGCUGUCUGUCCUACAGUCGCUCCUGAGAUCAGCCUUGCAACGGACAUUAGUGGCUCGGCCAUCAUAACAGCUAUCAAUAUUGGACCUGCUACUAGAAAUAAAAGACUAGAAGAAAAUAGGCCAAGAAGGUAUUACUAUGGUGGGACUCCUGGCUAUUUUAGGUCUUUGCGGAUUUUCCAAACCUUCUUCGAUGACCGUAUACAAAUUUUAUAAUUUCAAGAAUUCUUUUAAAUGAUUUUUGAAAAAAAAAAAUAUCUUGUCAUUGGCUCAAUUCUAUUGCCAUCCUUUGCCAGUAAAUAUCUAAAGAAAAAGUCUAUGGGAAGCAUUAGCACAGUGCACCUGCCAAGCCAGGCCUUCCUUGUAGGAACACACUCAUCAACUAACACGAGGGUAGUCAAUGUCAUUCUAAUACUAAUUUCUCAGACAUGGUUUGAGCAUUCUCCUCACCCCCUAAAUUUGGGGGCGGUGGGCAGGGAGAUUUUUAGAUGGAAUCCAAAAGAGCCAACAGAGAGUUUCCUCUUUUUUUGCCUCUCUUUCUUCCUUUAGUUGCUGUUUUGGCCGUCUCAGGACAAAGUCAGGCAGGAAGUCGGCACAAGAUACCUACCAGCUAUGGACUUUGUCAGUUUUCCAAAUGCUCUUCUGCCCCAGGGAUGCACAGACCCUCAGGCAAAACCACCCCUGCAAAGAAUGCUCUGCUGGGAUCACUUCCGCCAGCCAAAGCCCCAUUCUCUCAGGCACAGGGGAGCAGGUUUUGACUCAAAGGAGCACCGGAGCCACUGACAUAAACCCUGCUGUGACCUUGCCCCCACCCACCACCCUCUCCUUUCUCAUAACUAACCUCCCAUAAGACUCCUAGAGCCAUUGACCUCCUCUUCCUCACUUCUCCGCAGGCAGCCUGGCUUAUUCCUCCCACCUCUCCCUCUAGGGAUCCUACCCUAUGGGUCAUCAACAAACUUCUCGUCAAGUUCAAAGGCCAGUGCCCUUGGCCCCUUGGCUGUACGUGAAAUCCUCAACUGUUCAUUCUUCAAACUUUUCUUCCCUUGAUUUCUAUGAAAUCAAGCCUCUCCUAGUUCUCCUGGUCUCUCUCUGAACAUUCAAGUUCUUGUUUCUUCCUCCUCGCAGCCUUUGCUUGUUGUCCGGGAUGUCGCCCUCCGCCCACCGGUGUUCUCUCCCCCACACCCUCUCGCCACUGAUUCUUUCUUAGUGUCAGGCAUGAUUUCCAUGAUCUACAUGCCGAUAACUCCAGCCCAGACGUUUCCCCUCUGACUUCUAUUUCCUGGAGGUGCUGGUCCUCACAUGGGUGUCGCGUGGGCCUGAGAUCCGCCAGGUCCAGGGCUGAAUUCAUCUCCCCAUCAGGGCUCUUUGGCUGCAAGCAACAGGGACUGACCCUGACUUGCCAGUGCACGGAAGAGACUAAUUGGAAGGAUUGCAAGAUGGUUCCUAGAAUCAAGGGAAUCACUGGACAGCCUGGCGUCUGGUAGCCUGAACAAGGCCACUGCCCAGAUUCAAGUUCCCGGGAGCAAAUUUGACACACCCAGCUCAGAUCAUGGCCCCACUCCUUGGGGUCUGUAAUCAAAAUAAAGUGGAAUGAGAGACGCAAAAGGUCUCAGACAAGACAGCAGCCACCAAGCCUUCCAAGUUUGUUUUUCUUCUGGACCAGAAGGGAGUCUCUCUCUCUGUCUCUCUCUGUCUCUCCUUCCCUCUCUCCCUCACUCCCUCUCUCCCCGCUUCCCCCAACUCAGGUAUCUCAACGCCAGUCAGUCAUUACAUUCUGAGAUUUUUAAAGUAGUUCUCCAAAUGAUGGCCUUCUCCAUCCCUUGGACCUCUGACCUCCUUUGGAGUCUUAUGAUCUCUUGGCUUGAUGACUACUGGUGGCCUCCUAAAAAGUCUCUGCUCCCUCUCUUGUCCACCUCAAGUUUGUCGUCCACGUGAUAGCCAGAGUGAUCUAUCUAAAUCCAGAGCUAGCCACGUGACUCCCCUGUUUGAGCUCCUUAACCUAGAGGGUGAGCUAUGGGACUGGCAGCCCACAUUUCUUGUUACCAAAUAAAAUUCUGCGGGGACCUGGCCCCUACCCACAACCCCUUCGCUGCAACCUGGUUUUUGUCUGUUUGUCUGUCUGUCUGUUUUUGCUUCUGGCACUCCCUCUUCCUGCGUGUCUUUCUUCUCCCCCUACCACCGUACCCCAACCUGGCCGUUGCCAGUUUAUCUUUAAAAAUCGAAUGAGGCUUCACGUCCUCAAGGCUGCCCUCCCUAAGCCUUUCCUGACAUUUCAUGAGGGGUUGAGGAUCCCUCCUGAGUGCUUCCAUAAGGCCCUGAGCAUAUCUCUAUGAUCACCACACACAACCCACUGUUUGAGGAGUAUCUGUUCAGGUGCCUAUCUCUCCUACUAUCUACACAUUCUUGAAAAGCAGGGAUGAGACAAGGCAUACAGUAGGUGCUUAAUAAACGGUGGUUUGUUUUUUUUUUUUUUUGAAUGGUCACUGACUUUGGUAAAUCAUGUAACACCUUCUGAGUUUCAGCUUCCUCACUGCAAAAAGGAGAUAGGUCGACCUCUCCCGUGUUGUGCGAUUAAGUGAGAUGAUAUAAAUGGAACGCCUUGCAUGGUGCCUGGCACGUGAAACCGCGUUCCAAGAUCAGGGAGGCAAGUGUCAGAAGGAGAAAACGGCCAGCGUCUCGAGCUCAGAAGAGAACAAGCCCCUGCUAUUUCCUCCACGACAACGACGGCAACAGUUGCCCCGGCCGCGACGGAGCUGGCUUCCCCUGCCCUUGGGUACCACACGACGUCCCGCACCCCCGUCAUCUUUCUGUGGGAUUUCUCUCCACACGCUCCACGGAGGAACCGGGUUCAGGUUACAUCGCAUCUUGUCAAUUCCACCAGACUGGCUGGCGCGCUUUCUUUCCCCGAGGCGAAAACAAAGUCUAGAUGAUGGAAACAGACCCGGAAGAGUCGGCAGGCAGCAAAAGGCAAGGCCUGGGAGGGAGGCUGGCCCAACUGUGCUAGGUUGGUUCCGAGGACUCGCUUCGGGACCCCUGCCUCAAAGAGCAAAGUGUAUUCCGGGAGAAGAAGCAGACAGCUUCCCGCACGUCACUAACCUUACGGAGCACCGCAGGGCAAAGACCGAGGAGACCAAAAUCUCUGGACACCCCAUGUUCUGGCUGGUGGCACACCAUCUGGUUAGCCAAGGACCUUCUUAAGCCAGGCCCCUGAAACUGAGCGUGGAACUUCCAGCAAGCUCUGGCCGAGCCGGGACCUGGCCUGAGGCCUGCAGACCCAGCACAGCCUCACACGUAGUUGAAGACCCGAGGAAUGGAUUCCACCAACAUCCAGAUGGGCAGUGAGGGGUGCCAAGAGAAAGCCACACUGCAUCUUUUGGCGAUCAGUAGACCUGGACAGAUCACUCUUCGUUGCAGGGUAAGUUCUAGAAUACUUCAUAUAAAGGAAACGCACCGUUAUCCUGAAAUCUCGAGGAAGGGCAAAGUAUUUCUGAAAACAACGUACUGCGGGAACCAGAAGAGAAUUUUAGAAAACUGUGUUUGCAUCUUUGUGAGGACAGAAGAGGACAUGGCCUUUGAAAGCAGAAGUUGAUGAGGAAAGAGCACGUUUAAACGACAUGAGGACAAAGUUAAACCAAGGACCACCGUGGGAAGGCUGAAAACGCAAGGUCACGUGGUGAAUGUGACGAGAGCAAAGUCAGCAGUGGUCAGAGAGCACCUACUGGUUCCUGCCGUUACCGAGGGAGAAACAAAGGCAAGCUGAAGAGAUGCAACGAGCAGAGGCUUCUCUCAAGGCUCCGGUGACCAGGUCACCAUAUCCACGAAGCUUUGCCCAACAGCUAUGUGUUCAGUAACGCGCUGAGUGCCUCCUAGGUGGUAACAGCCUGGGUGCUAUAGGCCAUGAUAAGAUGGUGGUCAGAUGGACACGGUGCUCGCCUUCCUCAGGGGUCCCUUCUGCACCUUUGGCCUGGUCCAUCUUUGGCACCUUUAACAUUCCGUUGUUUGGGACCGCAGACGUAGCCGCGCCCCUCCCCCAGGAAGGACACUCUCAAGGACAGGAUUUCUCCAACAACGGCAGCUCAGAAUCAAGCCCUCGAGAAUCCUCUGGUGUUGGUUUUCUGACCACACCCCCUAAGGCCUCCCGGGAGUCCAAAGUCCACUGUUAUUGCGGAUCUGGAAUUACCUGGUAUUUCCUAUGCACGUUUAUUUUCCUUGUGGACAUUUAUUCAAAAAUGAUCUCUAGUAGCUUACUUUAAUAGCCUUUUCCCUGACUUUAAAGGCAACACAAACCCCUUUGAUAUAUAAAAAAGCACAAAGAAAAAAAAGAUGUCCUCUAUAAGCGGUAGCCGCUGAGGCCCACCCCACUCCAUUUUGACCUCAGCCACACCGAUCCUGAGCACUCGGAACAGUGCUUGACAUGGAAUAGACACUCAGUAAUCAGUAUGUGUCAAAUGGACGGUCAAGAGCAAGUCCCAUGGUCGCCAUGCUGGGCCGCACAUCAGGCUGAGGGAAGGCGCUGUCCUGGUAAUCGCAAGCACCCCUCAGCCACGCUUUCUGGGCUCACGGUGGUGGCUGCUGUAGCCCCGGGGAGCUAGAACCAUAUCUCCACUCUCAGGACUGCCAGCACCUCUGGGCCUGUGGCCCCCGGGCACCUUGUAUAGCUGGAGUGGUCCUAGGCCCUCAGGUCUGUGGGGAACAUAAACCAUCUUUGAGCUUAAGAGUCCUGGUUUUCCAGGGGCACCUGGGUGGCUCAGUCAGUUGGGCGUCAGAUCUCAGCUCAG